GACUAUCGCGUGAACGACCUCGGCUAAGGACCAACUGUCCGCGCCUUUGGUCAGUUUCUGAAACACCGCAACAAUCACUUUUAUGCAAUUCUGGGUAAUAAAUAAGACUGCGAUUGGUCGACGUUCCCAAGCUCACCUCUAUUUUUCCUGGAAUCGAUUUCAAACCCCGCAGCCACGACGGAUCGCCACCCUGGAGGAUGAACUCUCCCUUCUGCAGGUUUAUUAGAUAGCUGCACUGGUGUCUACCUGCGGCCUAAAAACACACGAAACGUUCGAAUUUGAUACUGUAAAUUGGUACUGUGUCGCAUAGCUUUUCAUCUAUAGGGUAUCUUGUAUUAUUAUUAAUAAUAUAAAAUUCAACGUCUGCGUUGUUUGUGAUUUCCC